rnacentral:lncRNA from 1 species
CUGCACAAGGCCUACGCGAGCGCACGUGUGCUUGAACCUUUUCAAAAUGUUUUUAAUUGAUUUUUAAUUUUUGUAAAAGAAAAGGAAAAGAUUUUCAACACAAGGCCUACGCGAGCGGUCGCACGUGUGCUUAAAUCUUUUCAAAAUAUUUUUAUUGAUUUUUAAAUUUUUUUUUAUGAUUUUUAUAUUUUUAUUUUUAUUAACAAACAAUAAUAAAACAAAGACAAUAAUAAAAAAAAUUACAAUCCAAUAGGCCCAAUAAGAAUAGGGGAGUAGAGAAGACGAAACCAGGGGUGCUGAGUAAAAUUAAGAUCUUCUUUGGUCCAGCCCAAUUAUAGGAGUGCAUCAGCAAAGAUGGAGGUGGCAUGUAGUAAUUGCUGGUCAGGCCCGAGAUUCACUUUUUUGUUUGCAGCAGCAGAAUGGGCUACAGCCCAAAUGGAAAGGGGGUGCGAAUAGGCAAAGAGAGGGGUGCGCUUGGUGGUAGGAAGAAACAAUACUCAAGCCCAAAGCCUCUUUUUCUGUUUGCAGAUGUGGCUAGGGAGUGCGAAUGGGAAAGCAGUGGUGGUGGGCAGAAGGCAUGCGUCCCAGAGCCAGGCCCAAAUCAUCUUAACCCUAACAGAAAUUAGGGGUUUCCCAAAUUUCAUUUCAUUUGUGCAAAGGAUAGCUUCCAGACCCAGACCCAGGGUCCUCUUCAUCUUCUCCUCUGAACGAAAGCAUCCAUGACCGUGACUCAGCCUCCGCUCAAACGGCCACCACCGUACCAGCCGCCACAAGCCGAAGUUCAACGGCGUAACCGACAGCAGCUCUCGUCACCUGAGCCACGAAGUCAAAGCCGUCGUCCUCCGUCGAGCUAGCUGCCACUAUCGAAUCGGAGGCGUCACACCCUUCUCCAGCCACCGUAAGGGUCACCGUUCUCCAUCGAGCCCGUUGCUAGCGCUACCCACCGCCACAGACCGUACCAGCCGUCGCGCCAAGCCCUCGCCGUCGCGAACGAGAUCGGGUGUUGUCGCCGGCCACGGCAACAGAAACCCCUAUGCCUUCUUUUCUUCGCACGACCCAAAAGCCAAGGGUUAUCGUCCCCACUUCGGCGAUGCAGACGGUCACCAAUGUCCGCGAUUCUAUGCCAGUUUAUGCCUUGCCAAAAACAUCUCCGAGGAUGUAAGUCGUUACCGCAAGCUCUUAGUGAUCACUGCAAUGGUUGCUGGAAUUUUCUCCGCUGACAGAGGUGACCAUGAAUGACGACAGUGGAAUCACCCUACCUUUCUCAACAUGAAAACCCUUUCCCUUUCAUUUGAACUUAGAAUUCGAUCUCGACAAUUACUCCCAUAUCAUCUGAUAUAUGCUAUCUGUUUGUUUUUUUUUUGGUAUUGAGAUGGGUUAGUGUGAUGGUGAUGAAAGUGUGGUGAAGAUGGAAGUUAGGAAAUGGGGAAUGAGUUCUUCUCUGUUUUGGUUUGGUUUUGUUUCCCUGUUUCUGUUUCUGUGUUCUGAAUAUUGGUUUUGGUAUUUUCGUGAUGGAGGAACUUAGUCAAGGAUGGGUGAUGAUGAUGGGAUGAAGAUUGGAGUUCCAAGAUGGCUCUGUCGAAGAUGAGAAUGGGAGAGGAUGGUAAACGUGGUUGGUUCCGGUAGAAUAGAAUGGUGGUUCCCCUUUUUUUUAAUUUGGCUGUGUAAUUCCCAUAGGUGAAGGUGGUGGUGUGAGUGGUUAACGCCUGAGAGGAGUAGGGGAGGUCGAGUGUAUGUGAUCAAUUCUGUUCGGUCAUGAGGUGUAGCGAGGAUGAUGGCAUUGUGAGCAAAAAGGAUUCUCUGUUCUUGGCGGCUUUGUGCCAAUGGAAGGUUGAGGGUGAGGGUCCUAAUGUCUGUGAUGGUCUAUUGCUUCAAAGGAGGUAUCAGAGAAGAAAGGGUCAAUAAUGGAUGUCAUUGGAGAUGAUGGGAGGAUGGAGAUUAAGGGAGGAUACUUUCUGUUAUGUUCCCUCCGAGUAGCCCCCUGCCAAAUUGCCAAUGCCAAAUAACCAAAACGCCUCUGCCUCCACCAAAACGCCUCUGCCACCCCAAAUGCUUUGUCCUUUUUCAAAAAAACCGUUUUCCUUUUCACAGACGACAAACCAACUUUUUUAAAUUUUUUAUUUCUUUUUUUUUCUUUAUUUCUUUUCAUUUUCUUUUUUCUUUCUUUUUUUUCAAUUUUCGUUUUCUCCUUUUUUUUUCUUUUGCAAUUAAAUCCAAUAAUAAAUAAAAAAACUAAAUCAAAUACUAAAUAGUAAAACAAAAAUUAAUAAAACAAAAAAUAAAAUUAAAUUAAAUUAAAAUAAAAUAAAACAAAAAUAAAAACAAGUCCUAUUAUUUAAUUACUCGGACGAAAUUGGGUGUUGACACCCCCUCCCCUUUGAAGAGUGGCGGUUGCCUUUCUUUUAAGGCCAGUGUCUCCAAAAUUAAAAGAAAAAUAAUAAAAAGCUUCCCUUUGGGAUUGAACUCGAAAACCCAAUACAAACCAAAAAUCACUUGCAAAAAAACAGAUCCAGCAAAGAAGAAGGUCGUUAUUGCUGUCGUCGUGGAUUCUCG